AGGACGAACGCUGGCGGCGUGCUUAACACAUGCAAGUCGAGCGACGCUCCUCCUUCGGGAGGAUGACGGAGCGGCGAACGGGUGAGUAACACGUGGGCAACCUGCCCCUAGCUCUGGGAUAACCCCGGGAAAUCGGGACUAAUACCGGAUAUGAAGUCGGACGGCAUCUUCUGACUUGGAAAGUUUUUCGGCUAGGGAUGGGCCCGCGGCCUAUCAGCUUGUUGGUGGGGUAACGGCCUACCAAGGCGACGACGGGUAGCCGGCCUGAGAGGGCGACCGGCCACACUGGGACUGAGACACGGCCCAGACUCCUACGGGAGGCAGCAGUGGGGAAUAUUGCACAAUGGGCGAAAGCCUGAUGCAGCGACGCCGCGUGAGGGAUGACUGCCUUCGGGUUGUAAACCUCUUUCAGCAGGGACGAAGCGAAAGUGACGGUACCUGCAGAAGAGCACCGGCCAACUACGCGCCAGCAGCCGC
rnacentral:rRNA from 1 species